rnacentral:lncRNA from 1 species
AAAGAGAGAAGAGACACAAAUCUUUGUUUACCCAGUUCGGUUAAAAUAACCUAGUCUGGGGGAGAGAGCAGCCCUCCGUUCCACUAGAAUCAAAUAAGUCACUUACAAGCAAUUCCCAAAUUUGGGUUACAAGAAUUAGCAAACCCUAACUCUACCCAAAUCCCGAAUUCCUUCCCGUGAUGAAGAAACUCAAUUUGACCUAGUCUACCAAAGGUGAACAAAGCAAACAAUAAACCUUUGCCCUAGAAUUAUACCAAAAGAAAACCCUUUUGUUCUCUCUCUAAAACCCUAGCCUUUGAUGGUGGCAAAUCCUUAUUGUUCCUUUCACUCUCUUAUUUUUCNNN